rnacentral:piRNA from 1 species
GAGCAAUGAAAAUCAUCUCAGAGUAGGUC